CGAGGCAUAACUUGAGUGUUGCCCCUACUUGAUUUACGUCCAUAUACAAAAAUCAAGUUGAAUACUGCCUUAACCUUGAGCAAACUGGCCCAUAGGGGAAUGUGGGUUGGAGCUUAAGUACUGUUGAUAUUUGAGAUAGUAAUGCAGCAGGGAGGCUGACACAGGCUGCAGUUCUAAUUAGGACAGUCAUCAGGGGCUAAUCCAGUCAAUAUGUGCAGCUAGCCCAAUCCCUGUGGGUAGCUUGGCUGUUGUUUCACAAUGUGGUAACUCUCAUUUGAGCUAAACUAGUGGAGUAUUACCUGUUGUAGGAAAGACAAGCUGAGGAGAUGGAGAUCCUUUCCUUUUCAGAAAGAAAGAUUGCAAUUCCAGGACUAAAGAGAUUUGUAUAAUACACUAAAAUGAAAGUUUUCAAAUUUCUGGAGUGUGCAGUUGGUGUAGCUAUUCCACUAUGUGAGACAGUGCAUCUCUGAUCCACUCGGAUCACUUGGGAGAUCCUUCGACCUGAAACUUGGACAAAACAAAGGACUCCAGAAAAUCAAGAUAAACAGAAUAAUGGUUCUGUAUAGAGCAAUACUCAAAGUUAUAUGAGCACCAUUUGGGGAAGCAAAAUGUAAUGGCAGAUUUAUUGUCAAGGAGCUGCAGAAAUGAUCAUCACCAGAUGGCAGGAAUGGAUGAGCACGAGAAGAAACGUGUAUUACAGAGUGUGGAAAAGACUCAACAUGAGGGCUUUCUAGUUCCAGCGGUCGUUCUGAAUCAAUCAUCUUCC